rnacentral:rRNA from 1 species
UAGAGAUGUGUGAUGACGCAUAUCAAUAAGCGGAGGAAAAGAAACUAACAAGGAUUCCCUUAGUAACGACGAGUGAAGCGGGAAGAGCUCAAAUUUGAAAUCUUCAAGGUUCUACCUUGACGAAUUGUAGUUUAUAAGAAGUGUUUUCUGUUAGUGGAGUGGCAAAAGUUCUUUGGAAUAGGACAUCAUAGAGGGUGAGAAUCCCGUAUUUGGUCAUUCCUCCUAGCGUUGUGAUACACUUUCAACGAGUCGGAUUGUUUGGGAAUGCAGUCCAAAAUGGGUGGUAAAUUUCAUCUAAAGCUAAAUAUUGGCGAGAGACCGAUAGCGAACAAGUACCGUGAGGGAAAGAUGAAAAGAACUUUGAAAAGAGAGUUAAACAGUACGUGAAAUUGUCAAAAGGGAAGCGUUUGACACCAGUGUUGUUUUUUCCGAAAAUCAAUUACGAAUGUUUUGUUUUUAAGAAGUUAUGACUUCAUCGGCUUGCUUCUUUCUUUACGAAACUUUCUUAAUGCACUUUUCGUUUAACAAGUCAACAUCAAUUUCUUUUGUUGUAAAAGGGUUAUUGGAAGGUGGCUUUCUCUUCGGAGAAAGUGUUUAUAGCCCUUAACCUCUGCAAUCGGAGAGAUUGAGGUCUGCAGCGUAGAUCCUUCGGGGUUAGAUACAUUUGUGCUAAGUUAUAGUCUUUUAUAGACAACUUGUUGACUAUGAUUGAUCUUGUAGCUUACUCGCUUAUGCUAUUUUACCUACGCUUAGGAUGUUGACAGCAGUAUAGACUGU